rnacentral:rRNA from 1 species
GCGAGCUGAUCCCCUUCGGGGGUGACGCUCGUGGAACGAGCGGCGGACGGGUGAGUAACACGUGGGUAACCUGCCUGUAAGAUCGGAAUAACUCCGGGAAACCGGAGCUAAUGCCGGGUAAUACUUUCUUUCGCAUGAAGGAAAGUUGAAAGAUGGCUUCUUGCUAUCACUUACAGAUGGACCCGCGGCGCAUUAGCUAGUUGGUGAGGUAACGGCUCACCAAGGCGACGAUGCGUAGCCGACCUGAGAGGGUGAUCGGCCACACUGGGACUGAGACACGGCCCAGACUCCUACGGGAGGCAGCAGUAGGGAAUCUUCCGCAAUGGACGAAAGUCUGACGGAGCAACGCCGCGUGAACGAUGAAGGUCUUCGGAUCGUAAAGUUCUGUUGUUAGGGAAGAACAAGUACCGUUCGAAUAGGGCGGUACCUUGACGGUACCUAACGAGGAAGCCCCGGCUAACUACGUGCCAGCAGCCGCGGUAAUACGUAGGGGGCAAGCGUUGUCCGGAAUUAUUGGGCGUAAAGCGCUCGCAGGCGGUUCCUUAAGUCUGAUGUGAAAGCCCACGGCUCAACCGUGGAGGGUCAUUGGAAACUGGGGAACUUGAGGACAGAAGAGGAGAGUGGAAUUCCACGUGUAGCGGUGAAAUGCGUAGAUAUGUGGAGGAACACCAGUGGCGAAGCGACUCUCUGGUCUGUCUCUGACGCUGAGGAGCGAAAGCGUGUGUAGCAAACAGGAUUAGAUACCCUGGUAGUCCACGCCGUAACGAUGAGUGCUAGGUGUUAGGGGCUUCCACCCCUUAGUGCUGAAGUUAACGCAUUAAGCACUCCGCCUGGGGAGUACGGCCGCAAGGCUGAACUCAAGGAUUGACGGGGGCCCGCACAAGCGGUGGAGCAUGUGU